rnacentral:rRNA from 1 species
UAGGGAAUUGUUCGCAAUGGGCGCAAGCCUGACGACGCAACGCCGCGUGGAGGAUGAAGGGCUUCGGCUCGUAAACUCCUUUCGACCGAGAUGAAUACCCGCAGGGCUAACAUCCCUGCGGACUGACAGUAUCGAGGGAAGAAGCCCCGGCUAACUCCGUGCCAGCAGCCGCGGUAAUACGAAGGGGGCUAGCGUUGCUCGGAAUUACUGGGCGUAAAGGGCGCGUAGGCGGCUUAGUUAGUCAGGCGUGAAAGCCCUGGGCUCAACCUGGGGACUGCGCUUGAUACGGCUAGGCUAGAGGAUGGAAGAGGGUCGCGGAAUUCCCAGUGUAGAGGUGAAAUUCGUAGAUAUUGGGAAGAACACCGGUGGCGAAGGCGGCGACCUGGUCCAUUACUGACGCUGAGGCGCGACAGCGUGGGGAGCAAA